rnacentral:rRNA from 1 species
ACGGGGCCCGCACAAGCGGUGGAGUAUGUGGUUUAAUUCGAAGCAACGCGAAGAACCUUACCAGGUCUUGACAUGGUGUUUAAGGCCCUAGAGAUAGGGAGAUAAUAAGCACACACAGGUGGUGCAUGGUUGUCGUCAGCUCGUGUCGUGAGAUGUUGGGUUAAGUCCCGCAACGAGCGCAACCCUUGUCUUUAGUUACCAUCAUUCAGUUGGGGACUCUAGAGAGACUGCCGGUGAUAAACCGGAGGAAGGUGGGGAUGACGUCAAAUCAUCAUGCCCCUUAUGACCUGGGCUACACACGUACUACAAUGGCGCAUACAACGAGCUGCGGGAUGGUGACAUCAAGCGAAUCUCUUAAAAUGCGUCUCAGUUCAGAUUGGAGUCUGCAACUCGACUCCAUGAAGUCGGAAUCGCUAGUAAUCGCGGAUCAGCAUGCCGCGGUGAAUACGUUCUCGGGGUUU